UGCUUCUGAAUAACAGUUGCCUCGAAACUUGGUGCUGGCUCUGGCUUUGCUGAUACCAAAAGUUGGAAGAAAAUGGCAGACUCAGUGGACUCAACUCCCCUGCCUGUAAUCGAGGAUCAUCUGGCUGUCCUUUGCCCUUCUCAGGAGCUUCUGGAGUAUUAUCAGAAGAAGGUGGCUAACUGUGAGGUAGAGAAUGAAGACCUGCUGAAGAAGUUAGAGCUCUAGAGAGAAACUUGGGAAGAGCAGCAUAAACUCAAGUGUAACUUGCAGCAGAGGGUGGAAGAUUGCUGAAUAGAAGAAAGCCCUAAGUGAUAUGCAGGUCUCCUUCUUCCUGGAAAGGGAACAUGUUUUAAGACUCUACUCAGGAAAUGACUAAGAAUCAGAGAACUGGAAGACAAGAAAAAGAUUCAGAAUAUGUAAGCUCUUGUGGGAACAGACACCAGGGAAGUGACCUAUUGUCAUUAGGAACCUCCUCACAAAGUCAGCAUUCUCCAGACGACUAUCCAGCUUCCAAAGUAGAUCCUGGAGUAAGCAAAAGAUGAGUAAGGAUAAAGGACAGAGAAGACUUUUCUGAGCACUACCAGAAGGACAUAGAGACACUCUUCCUGCAAGUGGAAGCACUUCAGACCCAACUGGGAGAGCAGACUAAGUUUUCUAGAGAUCAUGUUGAAUGACUCAUGGAGGACAGACGGAACCCGAAUUGAGGAGAUCUAAGUUCAGCACCAGAGAAAUCAAGAGAAAAAUCAAGGAGCUGACUAAGAAUCUCCAUCAAACCCAAAAACUGCUCUACCAGAGUACCAAAGACUUUCUAUAACUAAAACUUGAAAACCAAAAUAAAGAGAAGGUAUUUUUUGCUUGAGAAAGAUCACCUGAUGUCAAAGAUUAAACAGUAUGAAGUACUUUGCAAGAAGAAAGAAGAUAAACUUGGAAAAAUAGUUCCCAUUUUUCAUGAAAGUCAUCCUUCUCAAAAUGAAUAUAUUAAGUCUCCUAAGGAUAAGCUAAUACAAGAGAAAAAGCUGUCCAACAUAUACCAAGAACAGUGCAUCUCCCUAGAAGAAGAACUUCCUCUUCGUAAGGAGGAAGAAGGAGUGAGGAGAGAGAUCUUCACGAAUCACUCCAACAAGAUGGGCAAGUGGUCACAUAUAAUGACAAAACACUAUCAGGCCUUGGAGCAUUGAAAAUCCUGGGAGUAGAAGGUUUCAAGAUAGACAUUAAGGUUCUCUGACAGAAGUUGAAAGACCUGGACAAAUGUUCUAUAAGGCAACCAUGAACACUCAUGGAAAUCAGGACCUGACCAUGCUAUGUGAAGUCCAGAUAGCAAUAGAAGAACCCAUAAGAUACAAGGAGAACUGAAGAACCUCAACUCUAAAGUGUUUGGUCUGCAGAAUGAGCUUAGGCUGUGU
rnacentral:lncRNA from 1 species